GAUGAACGCUGGCGGCGUGCCUAACACAUGCAAGUCGAACGAAGCGCCUUUUGAGAUUCUUCGGAUGAUUGAUCGGCGACUGAGUGGCGGACGGGUGAGUAACGCGUGGGCAGCCUGCACGGUACAGGGGGAUAACAGUUGGAAACGGCGGCUAAUACCGCAAAAGGGGAGGACGGGACAUCCCCUUGUGUUAAAAAGUCCGGUGGUACAGGAUGGGCCCGCGUCUGAUUAGCUGGUUGGCAGGGUAACGGCCUACCAAGGCGACGAUCAGUAGCCGGUCUGAGAGGAUGAACGGCCACAUUGGAACUGAGACACGGUCCAAACUCCUACGGGAGGCAGCAGUGGGGAAUAUUGCAAAAUGGGGGAAACCCUGAUGCAGCAACGCCGCGUGAGUGAAGAAGUAUUUCGGUAUGUAAAGCUCUAUCAGCAGGGAAGAUAAUGACGGUACCUGACUAAGAAGCUCCGGCUAAAUACGUGCCAGCAGCCGCGGUAA
rnacentral:rRNA from 1 species